AUAUCUAGAUUUUAUAUCGAAUUCUUUGAACAAAAGAAACAAAAUUUCUUGUUAAAUAUUUUGUAUCUU
rnacentral:sRNA from 1 species